UAAACCAGCAUGACAAUGGCGGGUUGAAUAAUCAAGAAGAUCCCAAUUCAUUCAAAGCUCUAACUAUCACUGAGCAACACAUGCUUCAAUGACAAUCUGAACUUCGAAUUAAUUUGUAAAACGGAAAUUCUUUAGAAACUUGAAGAUUAGAAAGAAUGGGUCAGAAUACUCGCACUUUCGAACAUUGAAAAGAAAGGUAUGAAUACUUGAAACAUAUACCAAAGGAAUGGAUCAGAAUAAUUGCAAUAUAUCCAAGAGAAAGGUUUAGGAUACUUGCAACAUAUACCAAAGGAAUGGAUCAGAAUAUUUGCAAUAUAUCCAAAAGAAAGGUGUAGGAUACUUGCCUUAAAUCUGACUCCAGUCUCACAUCUCUAUCUCAUCUUUCCAAUCUCAUACUCUAUGCAUAUCAUAGUCUCUAGACCAUCUCUGGCUAUACCCUAUUCGCCACACCACUUCACUUACUCGACUCAUUCUUUAUUCG
rnacentral:lncRNA from 1 species